GCGGCGCUCCGUCCCGUUGAUCAGGUGCUGCAGGUUCUUGUUCUCCACAGAUCCGUUCUGCUCAGAGCCCGACAGGCCGAGCAGAGAGCGAACCCUCUGGGUACGGACGUCCAGGAUGGUGUCUGUGUAGCCCACUUCCUGAAUGCUAUCCUGGCCUGUGGGAACAUCAUGAUAUCAUCAGACACACACUCAGCAUGUGACAUCAUCAUCAUCAUCGUCGUCACAAUGUUCUGUGACGUGAAACUUCAUCAAAUCGUCACUAGGAGCUUCUUCCAACUCUGCUAGCCACGAAGCUAACUUGAGCUAGCGUGACAAACCCAAAAUGGCUGCGUGUGGGAGAAGCUGCGCGCCAGCUUCACUCGCUGCUGCUCCGCCGGCGACGGGAGGCCGAUGUUCGGGUGUUAAUGAAGAGAGAAGCGCAGAGGAGGAAACACUGACAGCAGACACACGACGGGCUCGAGCUAACGGCUAGCUCCGCUCGAGCUGACGGCUAGCCGGGCGCCUGCAGCUGUUCAAUGAGCCGCUAGCUUCAGCGCGUCGUGUUGCUGAGUUCCACUGAAGAACGACCGAGAGCGACGACGCGGAGGAGGCGAGGCUGUGAACACCGACACGGUUCUGUUCAGCUGCCCGUCCACCACACUUCACAGCCCGGUGGUUGGUGUGAGCCCGAGCAUUCAGCGCUUCGCUAAGCUAAGCUAAAGGGGCUAACCUGGAGCUCGGCCCUCUCCACCUCCCAGUGCGCCCUCUCCAUCUCGAACCGGGCCCACUCGUGCUGGAUGUAGUGCAGGAUGCCGGGGAUGGUGUACUGCUGCUGCGGCCGGGGAAGCUCGUCUGGCUGGUGCGGCACCAUGACUCCGCCGCCGCCUCCGAUCGGAUUCGCGCUGCUGUUGCUUCCCGACUGGAGCUGCUGCUGCGGGGGAGGUUGUCUGUGAGCGCCCGCUCCGACCCCUCCUCCUCCGCCGGGCUGCUCAUCCAUGUUGUCCCCCCCCUCCCCCUCUCUCCC